rnacentral:rRNA from 1 species
UACAGAGGUGGCAAGCGUUGUUCGGAAUUACUGGGCGUAAAGGGCGCGUAGGCGGCCCACUAAGUCAGACGUGAAAUCCCCCGGCUUAACCUGGGAACUGCGUCUGAUACUGGAUGGCUUGAGUGUGGGAGAGGGAUGCGGAAUUCCAGGUGUAGCGGUGAAAUGCGUAGAUAUCUGGAGGAACACCGGUGGCGAAGGCGGCAUCCUGGACCACGACUGACGCUGAGGAGCGAAAGCCAGGGGAGCAAACGGG